rnacentral:rRNA from 1 species
CUGCAGCUCAAGUGGUGAUCGUUAUUAUUGGGCCUAAAACGUUCGUAGCCGGUUUAGUAAAUGCCUGGGUAAAUCGUGUAGCUUAACUAUACGAAUUCCGGGUAGACUGCUAAACUUGAGACCGGGAGAGGCUAGAGGUACUCCUGGGGUAGAGGUGAAAUUCUGUAAUCCUAGGGGGACCACCAGUGGCGAAGGCGUCUAGCUAGAACGGGUCUGACGGUGAGGGACGAAGCCCUGGGGCACAAACCGGAUUAGAUACCCGAGUAGUCC